GACGAACGCUGGCGGCGUGCUUAACACAUGCAAGUCGAGCGGAGCGGCGAACGGGUGAGUAACGCGUGAGUAACUGCCCCCCUCUCUGGGAUAACAGUUGGAAACGGCUGCUAAUACCGGAUAGUGGGGGAUGACUCGCGUCCUAUCAGCUUGUUGGUGGGGUAGUGGCCUACCAAGGCGACGACGGGUAGCCGGCCUGAGAGGGCGACCGGCCACAUUGGGCUGAGAUACGGCCCAAACUCCUACGGGAGGCAGCAGUGGGGAAUAUUGCACAAUGGGCGGAAGCCUGAUGCAGCGACGCCGCGUGGGGGAUGACGGCCUUCGGGUUGUAAACUCCUUUCACCAUCGACGCGGUAGAUGGAGAAGAAGCACCGGCUAACUACGUGCCAGCAGCCGCGGUAAUUC
rnacentral:rRNA from 1 species